rnacentral:rRNA from 1 species
UACGUAGGUGGCGAGCGUUGUCCGGAUUUACUGGGCGUAAAGAGCGCGCAGGCGGUCGUACAAGUCGCGUGUGAAAGCCCCCGGCUCAACUGGGGAGGGUCACGCGAUACUGUUCGACUCGAAGGCAGGAGAGGGAAGCGGAAUUCCCGGUGUAGUGGUGAAAUGCGUAGAUAUUGGGAGGAACACCGGUGGCGAAGGCGGCUCACUGGCUCAUUGCUGACGCUCAGGCGCGACAGCGUGGGGAUCAAACAGG